rnacentral:rRNA from 1 species
GACGAACGCUGGCGGCGUGCUUAACACAUGCAAGUCGAACGGAAAGGCCCUGCUUUUGUGGGGUGCUCGAGUGGCGCACGGGUGAGUAACACGUGAGUAACCUGCCCUUGACUUUGGGAUAACUUCAGGAAACUGCGGCUAAUACCCGAUAGGAGCUCCUGCUGCAUGGUGGGGGUUGGAAAGUUUCGGCGGUUGUGGAUGGACUCGCAGCUUAUCCGCUUGUUUGUGGGGUAGUUGCUUUCCAAGCCUUUGAAGGAUAGCCGGCCUUGGAGGGUGAACGGCCACAUUGGGCCUGAGAUACGGCGCAGACGCCAACGGGAGGCAGCAGUGGGGAACAUUGCACAGUGGGGGGAAGCCUGAUGCAGCAGCGCUGCGUGCGUGAUGACCGCCUUCGGGUUGUAAACCGCUUUCGACUGUGACGAAGAGGGAGUGACGGUAAUGGGUAAAGAAGCAACGGCUAACUACGUG